UACGUAGGGGGCAAGCGUUGUCCGGAAUCAUUGGGCGUAAAGAGCGUGUAGGCGGUCCGGUAAGUCGGCUGUGAAAGUCCAAGGCUCAACCUUGGGAUGCCGGUCGAUACUGCCGGACUAGAGUUCGGAAGAGGCGAGUGGAAUUCCCGGUGUAGCGGUGAAAUGCGCAGAUAUCGGGAGGAACACCUAUGGCGAAGGCAGCUCGCUGGGACGUUACUGACGCUGAGGUGCGAAAGCGUGGGGAGCGAACAGG
rnacentral:rRNA from 1 species